GCCGGGCAUAGUGGUGUGUGCCUGUAGUCCCAGCUACUUGGGAGGCUGAAGUGGGAGGAUUGAUUGAGCCCAGGAGGUCGAGGCUGCAGUGAGCUAUGAUGGCACCACUGCACUCCAGCUUGAGCAACAGAGCAAGACCCUGUUUCAA
rnacentral:SRP_RNA from 1 species